GAUGCCGCCGCCGCCGAGAUGCGCCGCCACCACCGCCCACCACUCCCUCCUCGGCUCGCCCACCUGCCUCGCGCGCCCGCGGCGGCGGUGCUGCCCCGUGCGCGCCGCCGUCGCCGUCCAGGCCGAGGCGCAGGCCAAGGUCUCGCUCAUCCGGAUUGGCACCCGCGGGAGUCCUCUUGCACUGGCACAAGCUCAUGAAACCCG
rnacentral:misc_RNA from 1 species